GCAAGUUUUUACACAAGGGAAACAUAACAGUAAUGAAAGAAAAACAAUAUGGCUCGUAUGGAUAUUCAGAAGCGAAACUGUUCAAUCGGCAUGUUGCAAGCCGGUCAGUUAUUAAGACGUCAGCCAGUCAGUCCUUUCCAAUACCAGAAGUUACUCGCCCUUGGUUUCCGGCCCAGUACCCUCUUGUUGGACCCGGACUGCGUGUAUGAUGCCACCUGCCACCGCGCCUGUAGUACGCAUGCACCGCGAUCCCGGAAGGAGAGCCCACAGAAACCGGACGCACCUAGCGGAAUAGCGGCAUGGGGCGCUUUUGAUCCUUAGAUUGACGCGGCAACGCCGGACGAUCUAGCUUGCCCGGACGCCAAUGUCAUGCGCAGUGACAACAUCGACCGGAUCGCCCCAAGUUUGCACAGGCGCAGUGACAACAUUGACCGGAUCGCCCCAAGUCUGCACAUGCACAGUGACAACAUCGACCGGACCGCCCCAAGUCUGCACAUGCGCAGUGACAACAUCGACCAGAUCGCCCCGAGUCUGCACAUGCGCAGUGACACACCACCCAGUCGUCCGAACACCGCAGUUUUCAGUUUCCGGAACAACGCAAACGUGCCCCACUCGAAGGUGCAUUACCUAUUACAGACUCAACUCAACGUUCCGGUGCGAAGUAUCCAGUUCGAUCCCCUCGAUAUCCGGUCAUCGCGACCAGGUGUCGAAUCCCGCUGGGUCGUCGAAUUUCGUACUACAGCGGAUGUGUCAAAAGCUACACAGUCGGGACUUCUGGUGGACACGUACCGGCUGGUGUUUUACCAGCACGAUGACGUCACUAGCUGCGAAACCGCGGCCUAUAGAAACUACAUAGAGGUUGUUAACGCACAGGCCGUGAUAGCGGCGUCUGCUGAUAACGCAGUGCGCGGGAAACUUAAACUAUGUGACUAUGUCGUUAUGUUAAUUAAGGUUCCUUGGGAUAUGUACACUAGCAUGUACCAACAGUGACUCGAUUAGUACACAUUCAAGUGGAAUACUUACAUAAACGCCAUUUAAAUUCAAACAUCCACAUUCAUUUAUGACAAAAAAACGCUUCCCUUUUGUUGUCGAAGUUUUUGUUUGUUUUGAAUACUUAGGAAUAGAAUACAUGUAUUGAUAAUACUAACUUUUAACAUAUUGAAUCAUUUCCCACUUCAAACACAAAGUUAAAUCAUGUAUGCAUUAAACAUAUUAAGAACAAAUAUUUAUCAGCUUUGUUGUCAAGCCAUUUUAGUUUAAAGCCCUCCCCGUCAGACAAAUUGUGUGGAUAAAUUUGUGGACGGACCUACGAACUGACAGACAGACAUGAUGAUGGACAGAGGGUUAGCCUACGGCCACCUAUAUCAGAACACAUCUCUGAACACACAGUCGUGUGUUGUUUUUUUGGAUCCCUACAAACAAAACAAUUUAUUUGAUUUUGUAACAAUAUAUACAAUGAACAAAUAUGACAUGACACACAUAUAAUAUUUAUACUAUAAAAACAGCAUAUUAAGUAUAUCUGCAAAACGAGAUUUUG